UGCCUCGUAGCCAAGUGGUAAGGCAUCGCACUCUGAAUGCGACAUUCGCUAGUUCGAAUCCAGCCGAGGCAA
rnacentral:tRNA from 1 species